UUCCUCCCGAAGCUCAGGGUGUAGUCCCUGAGAAUAAGAUGAGGGGGAUUAGAGGAGAUCCUUCCCCACUCCGCUAAUAUCCGGUAUUGUGGCAUCCUCACCUGGGACUGGUGUGCCGAGCAGCGGCUAAUGUAGUCCUGGCGCGGCUCCCCACGGUGGCUGCACCCCGCAAGGGAGACUUCGCUUCCUUGCCCCUUUAGACCGGAAAUCACAACUUUGUUUCCUCAGGACCCGUUUUCCAAGUAGUCAUUAUCCUGCCACAAUGAUUUAUUUCUAGAAAAAAUUGGGGCGAGUGCUACAGUUCUCACCCCUUCAACUGAGGGACUGCGACAUCUCCGUGUUCAAGUUGAAUGUAGGCGUUAUAUGCAAGAGUCAAUCAUUCAGCGAAUACAGUUCUUGCAGUAAUAACUAACAUUUACUGUGUGCUGACUACAUGUCAGGCCUGUGCUCAGCGAUUCGAGCACAUCUUCAUUUAAUCUAAUAGCAACUCUCUGCAGUAGGUACCAUUAUAUCCUCUGGUUUUCAAAUGAGGAAGCUGAACAACUUGCCAAGGUCCCUAAGUAACUGUUGGAACUUUGAAGGGAAUACAUCUGACUCUAAAACUGUGUUCUAGAGUUGAAGGGGUAUGCCACCGUGCUGGGCUUCCUCGUAAUCUUUAGCUCUACAUUGAGUUCUUCUAAGUCUUUUUCUGAAGUGGGAA
rnacentral:lncRNA from 1 species